rnacentral:rRNA from 1 species
AAGAAACCAACCGGGAUUGCCCUAGUAACGGCGAGUGAAGCGGCAACAGCUCAAAUUUGAAAUCUGGCUCUUUUAGAGUCCGAGUUGUAAUUUGCAGAGGGCGCUUUGGCUUUGGCAGCGGUCCAAGUUCCUUGGAACAGGACGUCACAGAGGGUGAGAAUCCCGUACGUGGUCGCUGGCUAUUGCCGUGUAAAGCCCCUUCGACGAGUCGAGUUGUUUGGGAAUGCAGCUCUAAAUGGGAGGUACAUUUCUUCUAAAGCUAAAUAUUGGCCAGAGACCGAUAGCGCACAAGUAGAGUGAUCGAAAGAUGAAAAGCACUUUGGAAAGAGAGUCAAACAGCACGUGAAAUUGUUGAAAGGGAAGCGCUUGCAGCCAGACUUGCUUGCAGUUGCUCAUCCGGGCUUUUGCCCGGUGCACUCUUCUGCAGGCAGGCCAGCAUCAGUUUGGGCGGUAGGAUAAAGGUCUCUGUCACGUACCUCUCUUCGGGGAGGCCUUAUAGGGGAGGCGACAUACUACCAGCCUGGACUGAGGUCCGCGCAUCUGCUAGGAUGCUGGCGUAAUGGCUGUAAGCGGCCCGUCUUGAAACACGGACCAAGGAGUCUAACAUCUAUGCGAGUGUUUGGGUGUCAAGCCCGAGCGCGUAAUGAAAGUGAACGGAGGUAGGAACCCGCAAGGGUGCACUAUCGACCGAUCCUGAUGUCUUCGGAAGGAUUUGAGUAAGAGCAUGGCUGUUGGGACCCGAAAGAUGGUGAACUAUGCUUGAAUAGGGUGAAGCCAGAGGAAACUCUGGUGGAGGCUCGCAGCGGUUCUGACGUGCAAAUCGAUCGUCAAAUUUGGGCAUAGGGGCGAAAGACUAAUCGAACUAUCUAGUAGCUGGUUCCUGCCGAAGU